AACACAUGCAAGUCGAGGGGAAACGACAUCGAAAGCUUGCUUUUGAUGGGCGUCGACCGGCGCACGGGUGAGUAACGCGUAUCCAACCUGCCCAUCACUUGGGGAUAACCUUGCGAAAGUAAGACUAAUACCCAAUGAUAUCUCUAGAAGACAUCUGAAAGAGAUUAAAGAUUUAUCGGUGAUGGAUGGGGAUGCGUCUGAUUAGCUUGUUGGCGGGGUAACGGCCCACCAAGGCAACGAUCAGUAGGGGUUCUGAGAGGAAGGUCCCCCACAUUGGAACUGAGACACGGUCCAAACUCCUACGGGAGGCAGCAGUGAGGAAUAUUGGUCAAUGGACGAGAGUCUGAACCAGCCAAGUAGCGUGCAGGAUGACGGCCCUAUGGGUUGUAAACUGCUUUUAUAAGGGAAUAAAGUGAGUCUCGUGAGACUUUUUGCAUGUACCUUAUGAAUAAGGACCGGCUAAUUCCGUGCCAGCAGCCGCGGUAAUACGGAAGGUCCGGGCGUUAUCCGGAUUUAUUGGGUUUAAAGGGAGCGUAGGCCGGAGAUUAAGCGUGUUGUGAAAUGUAGAUGCUCAACAUCUGAACUGCAGCGCGAACUGGUUUCCUUGAGUACGCACAAAGUGGGCGGAAUUCGUGGUGUAGCGGUGAAAUGCUUAGAUAUCACGAAGAACUCCGAUUGCGAAGGCAGCUCACUGGAGCGCAACUGACGCUGAAGCUCGAAAGUGCGGGUAUCGAACAGGAUUAGAUACCCUGGUAGUCCGCACGGUAAACGAUGGAUGCCCGCUGUUGGUCUGAAUAGGUCAGCGGCCAAGCGAAAGCAUUAA
rnacentral:rRNA from 1 species